rnacentral:rRNA from 1 species
GACGAACGCUGGCGGCGUGCCUAAUACAUGCAAGUAGAACGCACAGUUUAUACCGUAGCUUGCUACACCAUAGACUGUGAGUUGCGAACGGGUGAGUAACGCGUAGGUAACCUGCCUGGUAGCGGGGGAUAACUAUUGGAAACGAUAGCUAAUACCGCAUAAUAUUGAUUAUUGCAUGAUAAUUGAUUGAAAGAUGCUAUUGCAUCACUACUAGAUGGACCUGCGUUGUAUUAGCUAGUAGGUGAGGUAACGGCUCACCUAGGCGACGAUACAUAGCCGACCUGAGAGGGUGAUCGGCCACACUGGGACUGAGACACGGCCCAGACUCCUACGGGAUGCAGCAGUAGGGAAUCUUCGGCAAUGGACGAAAGUCUGACCGAGCAACGCCGCGUGAGUGAAGAAGGUUUUCGGAUCGUAAAGCUCUGUUGUAAGAGAAGAACGGGUGUGAGAGUGGAAAGUUCACACUGUGACGGUAUCUUACCAGAAAGGGACGGCUAACUACGUG